AGGUUUGAAGGUUCUAGAAGUCUCAUGGAAAGCUUCAUAUUUAUUUGCAAGAGUUUUCCUCAUCUUACGACUGAGCAAUUUUUUCAACGCUACAAGAAUAUUUAUCCAUGGUAAAUCUUCUACCCCUAAUCUUGCUUUAAGACAAAUUUUCUUUCUACAGAUCCAUAUUGCUUCUUACACUAUUUCAUUGGAAGCCACCUGAUAUCUGUGUGUGCCGAUGAUAAUGACCAGAGUGAUAUUUAUUCAUGGAUCACCUUUCCUUCACAGAAAGCAGGAAUCAGUUCCAGUAUCUGGGCCAUAAGUAGACUACAUCCAUGCAGGUCACCAGAGGGAUGGAGAGUGGGCCAGGAGAGAGAAACAGGAUAACUAUCAAUGAGAAAUC
rnacentral:lncRNA from 10 species